rnacentral:antisense_RNA from 1 species
CAUCUCAAAAAGCAAAAAAAAAUCAAUUUAAAGUCAUAACAUUUUUAAAAGAUGAAGGAGAAUUUGUGGCACAGCUGCAUUAACCAAACAAGACACCAAUCUAAAGUGCAACACUAAACAGGUGUUCUCUCUUCCCAUGGUGGAAUAAAUACACACAAUUACACAUAAAAUUUCACUGAAGAUAUGAGAUGAGGCAAAUAACCCUUUGAAAUGAACCACCCAAGGAAUAGAGACAGGCUAAAAAUAAUUUCUUUUAAGAUUUUACUGCAAGAUGGACCCCCCACCCCCCCUCCAGCCCAGGUGAGUACUAACUCAAACACCUCAUUUUAUGUGCAUGGCUUUGGCUUCUGUCUUCUUUCCUCAGCCACAUCCAAAUCCAGAAAGGCUUCUGUACCCUGUGCUCAAAAACGCAACCUCGGCCAGGUGUGAGCUACAAUGCCGGGAUGCAUCAUUUCUUUAAACAAUGGCUUUAACUGUUGAAUGAGCUCUGACAAGCCAUAUGCCAUUUCAUGAGCAAGCCAAAAUACUGUCUUCAUAUCUGUCUGUUUUUCUUGCAAACAUGUAUCAUCCGAGUAAAAAAAAAAAAAAAAAAAAA